GUCAUGGUGGAUUUUAAUAACACAAAAGUCAGGGUAGGAGAUUGUUAUUAAACAGAUUUUUCUUUUUUUUUUUAGUUCACUUCGCCAUUAUGUCCAGUCAACCCGUGCCUGGUAUUUCUAAACGUUAUAGACGUCACAGUAACCUAACUACCUCUAGCACUAGGGGAAAGCCCACAAAAUGCUUUUUAGGUAUGAGAAAUGGCCAUGAAUUUUAAAGCUUGUGUCAGAAUGCAGAGAACCUUUCCUUCUCAACUACCCUGAAUCAAAAGCAAGGUAUUACUAGGAAAAAUGCUAGUGUAGGAAUUGGCUUUAGAAUCAAACAUUUUUUUCUGAUGUUGUUAUGCGCGAUAAAAUUAAUUAAUUUAGCAUUUAGUUUUUCUAAAAAAUGCAUUAUGGUUUAUAUAAUGUUACAGUCUCAAUUCAAUUAGCAAAAAAUAUUAGUUAAAGCAAGAAAUGAUGGCACAAGCAGAAGAAAAAUGAAACAUCCAUUCAAAAAUAUCCGAAGAACAUGAAAAGAAUUAUGGUCAGAGAAGUUACAAAUAUUAUGAAGAAAAGUGGAAUGAAUCAGACCCAUGUAUUUUAGCCUGACAUCACGAACAUUUCCAGAAAAUUAGAUCUAUUAUCUGGUAGUUUGUUCCUACAAGAGAAAUAGGAGCUUCAUUGUUUAAGUCAUUUAGAAAUAGAGGACCCCAAAUGAUAAGGACUGUGGUAUAGAAGAGGGAAGAAGGGAAUGAUUAGAUGAACUGGUAAAUUGGUUCUCUCUGUAAUUCCAAACACUCUCUUUUGUAGUGUAGAAAAUCAAGGCAGAAGAAUUUUUAUGUGAGAUUUGAUAAAGAUAACAUUUUUUUCUGUUUAAAUAUUAAAGCAAUCUUUGGAGAAAAGAUCCUAGGAAAAAAAUACAUAGAUCAAAAACCACAAGAGAUUUGCAAAUGAUGAAGGCUUAAACCAUCAAUAGCACUCUGGAAUUUCAAAGCCCUGGGAUCUAAGGUGAUUGUUUUCCUCUAUUUCUCUUCUGUUUCCUGGGUUGUUUUUGUUCUUCAUCAUCCAUUCUCUGUACACAAUCUCCCCACUUCUAUCUUAAAACCAACUUCUUGUUCACUUGGAAGAUUGACUUUUUCUAUUUAAAUAACUUUGAUUUUUGCUGAAAGAAAGCCAAAGUGACACAAUCUUCAUGGAAAAUCAUAUUUUGCCUCCUUUUUUUUGAAGAAUUUUUAUUUAAAGUGGUAUAUUUGGUACAAAAUUGUGCACCUUUGUCUAAGUAGAAAUUAAGAUUUUCCAUUCUGCCCAUAUCACCAUCCACUCCUUAAAAGUGGCUACUAAAAAUAUUUCUGUACGUAUUUGAUGUUCAUGCAGACAUUCCCAUGUAUAUAUGAGUGUUGUAUACUACUUUUUACCUGGAAUUUAUCAAUUCUUUGCUAAUAGAUACAUUUAUGUUGGUUCCAAUAAUUUACUAUUACUUAUGGCAUUGUAAUUAUAGUCUUUGAAUUUAAAUACAUGCUGAGUCAAAUGUAAAAUAUUUGUUGGGUUGUAUCUCUGAGUUUAAUAUCUUUUUUCCCAAUUAUCCUCCAAAAAGCUUGAAUUAGUGGCCCAAAUUAUGUGAAACUUUCUCUUUCACAUUCAUAUCUUCAUCAAGAAAGAAUUGAUAUUCAAAUAUUUUAAUCUUUGCCAACCUAAUAUUUGAAAACUAUUGUUGUCUUAAUUUGUGUUUUUCUAUUAUGUGUAGCAUCAGUCUUUUUUGUAUGUGUUUAUUGGCAUUUAUAUUUCCUUUUUCUUUGAAGAGCCUUAUUUAGACCUUUUGCCUAUUUUAUUGUUAGUUUCUUAUCAUGUGAAAACUCUUUGUAUGUCAUGUAAACUAGCCAUUUGUGUGGUAAACAUUUUUUCAGAAUGUUGUUUGCCUUCAACCUUGUUAUUUUUAUAGAGUCAAAUUUAUUAACUCUAAUUGCAUUUAUGAUUUUUAUUUUUCAUGUCAUGCUCACAAUGGUAAUGCUUGACAUGGUAUUUCAAUAGAAUCGCUUGGUCCUUGUUGCUCCCAUUGUACUACCUUUUCUACAGGACUAGCAGGUUGUAUUAUAAUUAUCUGUUCCCUUCACUAGAUUGUUGAUUCCAAGCAGAACAUGACACUGUCAUAUUUGUUUUUGUAGUUUAGUUAGCAGAAAAGCCAAAAUGCCAUUACAUAUAAAUACUAGCUGGUAAAUGAUAAGUAAAUAAACAUAAUUAAAUGUAAAUAAAUGAAUUAGUG
rnacentral:lncRNA from 12 species